rnacentral:lncRNA from 1 species
UGUUAAAUGCAAUGUUUUAUAUGUAUAUUGGAAUGUAUAAUAUUAUACAAGUGAUGAAUCUUUAAUAUAAUAUUGAAUCAUAUAAAAGAAGACCAACUGUCUCAUGAGAACACUUUGUGCUCUCCUUAAAUGGUCUAAAAACUAGGUUUCACUGUACUGAUUAUUGAUGUAUGUCGUGCUAAUAUUGUGUGAUUAUCUGAAUGCUGAAGGAUGACCAUUAAUUAUGGAUUAUAUUUUGUAUAACUUCUAUCUUUUACAAUAUAUAACAAAAGGAUAAAACAAAAAUAACCUAUUUAUAUAUUGAAUACAAAAACAUAACAUUGUAAAUAUGACUGACAGACUAAUAAAAAUGAACAUUUCAAUCUGCAAAAUAAAAAUAAACAAUAAAAAAAAUCACAACAAAAAUAUCACAGUGAAGAAAAUAGGAUUUCACCUUGACCUUAAACUUUGUUCGUGUCUUGUUUUAGACUGAUAUUUAUCCUUCUCUUAUCAGUGGUGUAUCCAGAAAUUAUCAUAAGGGGUGCCCACUAACUGCCUAAGAGGGGACCCACUCUAGUCAUGUUCCAUUGAUUCCCUAAAUAAUCAACCAAAUUUUUCCCACAAAGGGGGGUGGUUGGGUACCUCUGGAAAACCCAAUAAAUCCCCCUCUUCUUAUCAAGUGGCAUUUGUCUGGUACAUAUCAUUCUUGUAUUCUUUCUUAAUUUAACUCCUCCUACAUAACUUGAAUGGUUUCAUGGC